rnacentral:rRNA from 1 species
GACGAACGCUGGCGGCGUGCCUAAUACAUGCAAGUUGAGCGCUGAAGGUUGGUACUUGUACCGACUGGAUGAGCAGCGAACGGGUGAGUAACGCGUGGGGAAUCUGCCUUUGAGCGGGGGACAACAUUUGGAAACGAAUGCUAAUACCGCAUAAAAACUUUAAACACAAGUUUUAAGUUUGAAAGAUGCAAUUGCAUCACUCAAAGAUGAUCCCGCGUUGUAUUAGCUAGUUAGUGAGGUAAAGGCUCACCAAGGCGAUGAUACAUAGCCGACCUGAGAGGGUGAUCGGCCACAUUGGGACUGAGACACGGCCCAAACGCCUACGGGAGGCAGCAGUAGGGAAUCUUCGGCAAUGGACGAAAGUCUGACCGAGCAACGCCGCGUGAGUGAAGAAGGUUUUCGGAUCGUAAAACUCUGUUGGUAGGGAAGAACGUUGGUGAGAGUGGAAAGCUCAUCAAGUGACGGUAACUACCCAGAAAGGGACGGCUAACUACGUG